AAGUCGUAACAAGGUUUCCGUAGGUGAACCUGCGGAAGGAUCAUUACCGAGAGAGGGGCUUCGCGCUCCCGGGGGUUUCGGCCUCCACCUCUUCACCCAUUGCGUAUCUACCUUUGUUGCUUUGGCGGGCCAUGGGGUUCGCCUCGCGCUGGCCUUCGGGCUGGUGAGCGCCCGUCAGAGGCCCUUUAAAAACUUUUUUUUAGUGAUGUCCGAGUAAACCACAAAUAGUAAAAACUUUCAACAACGGAUCUCUUGGUUCCA
rnacentral:misc_RNA from 1 species